rnacentral:rRNA from 1 species
ACAGAGAGUUUGAUCAUGGCUCAGGAUGAACGCUGGCGGGUGCCUAAUACAUGCAAGUCGAAGAAGACAAGGAGCUUGACUGCCUUUGUGUUACCCGUGGACGGGGGGAGUAGGAUGUGGGAAACCUACCUAUCAGACUGGGAUAGCUUCGGAAGCCGGAGCUAAUACCGGAUAAUAUUUCGAACCGCAUGGUUCGAUAGUGAAAGAUGGUUUUGCUUCACUUAUAGAUGGACCCGCGCCGUAUUAGCUAGUUGGUAAGGUAACGGCUUACCAAGGCGACGAUACGUAGCCGACCUGAGAGGGUGAUCGGCCACACUGGAACUGAGACACGGUCCAGACCUCUACGGGAGGCAGCAGUAGGGAAUCUUCCGCAAUGGCGAAAGGCUGACGGAGAACGCCGCGUGAGUGAUGAAGGUCUUCGGAUCUGUAAAACUCUGUUAUUAGGGAAGAACAUACGUGUAAGUACUAUGCCUCUCUCCGGUACCUAAUAAAAAAAACACCCCCAGG